rnacentral:rRNA from 1 species
UACGUAGGGUGCAAGCGUUGUCCGGAAUUAUUGGGCGUAAAGAGCUCGUAGGCGGUUUGUCGCGUCUGCUGUGAAAACUCGGGGCUUAACUCCGGGCCUGCAGUGGGUACGGGCAGACUAGAGUGCGGUAGGGGAGACUGGAAUUCCUGGUGUAGCGGUGAAAUGCGCAGAUAUCAGGAGGAACACCGGUGGCGAAGGCGGGUCUCGUGGGCCGUAAACUGGACGCUGGAGGAGCGAAAGCGUGGGGAGCAAACAGG